GGGGAACUGAUGCAGCCAUGCCGCGUGUGUGAAGAAGGCCUUCGGGUUGUAAAGCACUUUCAGCAGUGAGGAAGGUCACGUACUUAAUACGUGCACGGCUUGACGUUAGCUGCACAAGAAGCACCGGCUAACUCCGUGCCAGCAGCCGCGGCAAUACGGAUGGUGCGAGCGUUAAUCGGAAUUACUGGGCGUAAAGCGCAUGCAGGCGGUUUGUUCAGUCAGAUGUGAAAGCCCGGGGCUCAACCUCUGAACCGCAUUUGAAACUGGCAGGCUAGAGUCUUGUAGAGGGAGGUAGAAUUACAGGUGUAGCAGUGAAAUGCGUAGAGAUCUGACGGAAUACCAGUGGCGAAGGCGGCCCCCUGGACAAAGACUGACGCUCAGAUGCGAAAGCGUGGGUAGCAAACAGGAUUAGAUACCCUGGUAGUCCACGCCGUAAACGCUGUCUACUUGGAGGUUGAGGUUUUAGACUUUGGCUUUCGGCGCUAACGCAUUAAGUAGACCGCCUGGGGA
rnacentral:rRNA from 1 species